GGAUAGGUGAGGAUAAUGGAAGGAGAAGAAGGCAUGGUGAGGAUAAUGGAAGGAGAAGGCACGACGUGAGGAUAAUGGAAAGAGAUUAAAGGCACGGUGAGGAUAAUGGAAGGAGAAGAAAGUACGGUGAGGAUAAUGGAAGGAGAAGUAGGCACGGUGAGGAUAUCGGAAGAAGAUUGAAGGCACGGUGAGGAUAACGGAAGAAGAAGAAAGCACGUGAGGGUAAUGUAAGAAGAAGAAGGCAAAGUGAGGAUAAUGGAAGGAGAAGGCACGGUGAGGAUAAUGGAAGGAGAAGGCACAGUGAGGAUAAUGGAAGGAGAAGGCACGGUGAGGACAAUUGAAAAAAAGGAAGGCACGAUUAGGAUAAUGGAAGGAGAACAAGGCACCUUGAGGAUAAUGGAAGGAGAACCAGGCACAAUGAGGAUAAUGAAAGGAGAAGGUACGACGGUGAGUAUAAUGGAAGGAGAAGGCACGGUGAGGAUAACGGACAGAAAAGAAGGCACGGUGAGGAUAAUUGUAGCGGAGAGGUAGUAUAAUCCACUGUAUCUCCGCUGGGUAACAGGAAAAGCAUAAAACAAUCCAGGCAAAAUAAGUACAGCAUACAAUAAUCCCGGUAGCGUUGUAUAAAUCCUUCCCUCCCAAGGACUAGACGACACAUAGGCUAGGAGUCAACUGAGCUUUUAAUCACAGGUCACAGUAUUUAUGGGAUUCCCCAUGCAAGGGGACUACAUGGGGAACUUAACAACCCGGACAUUUCUCCCAUCAUGCACUGCUGCACGAGAGGGAUACUCGCCAGGCUCCAGCAGCGACUACAGGAUGUGAUGCGCAGUAUGGAGUAUCCUAUCCCAGAGGAAAGAGAGACAGAGUGGAGGGUGGCGCUUCGUACCGAUCUCUGGAAGGAGGACAUCGACGGAUUUCGACCCUUUCGGUGUGAGGAAAUCCUGACCACUAACCAGCGCAAAGAAGAACAACUAGAGCUGCGGAUGCCGUUAUUGGGAAACCAGCCCUCAGAUGAAUGGGUAAGCGAACUGGAGACGCUAGUUGAGACUGAGGUGUGGCUGAAUGAUUCCUAUCGGGCUCUGUGGUGGCAUGCUUACCACCUCUACCCAUGGAUGAUUGAGUACAAGUGUAUUGAGGGGGAAGACUACAAUGGCCCUGGUUUGUUGUGGGAUACUAUUGAAACUAGUCUCUGGUUCGGAGACACCGACAUUGCUUGCUUCUGGUCCAUCCGAGCUGAGCGGGCAGACAACUGGGACCUUACGGAGACCGAUGCCAUUCAGCCAGAUCUAUCUUUUCUUGCCAACCGGGAGUGGGAACUAGAACAGCAUUAUGUUUGCCUAUUCCAACGUAUAACGCCGCCUAUCUCUGACAUGAUGGGGCUUAUUGACUGUAUACCACCGGAAGCAUGGUGU